rnacentral:rRNA from 1 species
CCUACGGGAGGCAGCAGCAGGGAAUAUUGUGCAAUGAACGAAAGUUUGACACAGCGACACCGCGUGUGGGAUGACGGAUCUAGGUUUGUAAACCACUUUCAGGAGGGAAGAAAAUGACGGUACCUCCACAAGAAGCCCCGGCCAACUACGUGCCAGCAGCCGCGGUAAUACGUAGGGGGCGAGCGUUGUCCGGAUUUAUUGGGCGUAAAGAGCUCGUAGGCGGUUCAACAAGUCGGUCGUGAAAGUUCAGGGCUCAACCCUGAAAUGUCGAUCGAUACUGUUGUGACUAGGAUACGGUAGAGGUGAGUGGAAUUCCGAGUGUAGCGGUGAAAUGCGUAGAUAUUCGGAGGAACACCAAUUGCGAAGGCAGCUCACUGGACCGCUAUCGACGCUGAGGAGCGAAAGCUAGGGGAGCAAACAGGAUUAGAUACCCUGGUAGUCCUAGCUGUAAACGAUGGAUACUAGACGUAGGAACUGGAUUGACGGUUUCUGUGUCGUAGCUAACGCGUUAAGUAUCCCGCCUGGGGAGUACGGUCGCAAGACUGAAACUCAAAGGAAUUGACGG